rnacentral:rRNA from 1 species
GUAGGUGGCAAGCGUUGUCCGGAAUUAUUGGGCGUAAAGCGCGCGCAGGCGGUUCUUUAAGUCUGAUGUGAAAGCCCACGGGCUCAACCGUGGAGGGUCAUUGGAAACUGGAGAACUUGAGUUCAGAAGAGGAAAGCGGAAUUCCACGUGUAGCGGUGAAAUGCGUAGAGAUGUGGAGGAACACCAGUGGCGAAGGCGGCUUUCUGGUCUGUAACUGACGCUGAGGCGCGAAAGCGUGGGGAGCAAACAGGAUUAGAUACCCUGGUAGUCCACGCCGUAAACGAUGAGUGCUAAGUGUUAGGGGGUUUCCGCCCCUUAGUGCUGCAGCUAACGCAUUAAGCACUCCGCCUGGGGAGUACGGCCGCAAGGCUG